rnacentral:rRNA from 1 species
UAUGAGAAGGCAGACCCGGGGAACUGAAACAUCUAAGUACCCGGAGGAAGAGAAAGCAAAUGCGAUUCCCUGAGUAGCGGCGAGCGAAACGGGACCAGCCCAAACCAAGAGGCUUGCCUCUUGGGGUUGUAGGACACUCUGUACGGAGUUACAAAGGAACGAGGUAGAUGAAGAGGUCUGGAAAGGCCCGCCAUAGGAGGUAACAGCCCUGUAGUCAAAACUUCGUUCUCUCCUGAGUGGAUCCUGAGUACGGCGGAACACGUGAAAUUCCGUCGGAAUCCGGGAGGACCAUCUCCCAAGGCUAAAUACUCCCUAGUGACCGAUAGUGAACCAGUACCGUGAGGGAAAGGUGAAAAGCACCCCGGAAGGGGAGUGAAAGAGAUCCUGAAACCGUGUGCCUACAAGUAGUCAGAGCCCGUUAACGGGUGAUGGCGUGCCUUUUGUAGAAUGAACCGGCGAGUUACGAUCCCGUGCAAGGUUAAGCAGAAGAUGCGGAGCCGCAGCGAAAGCGAGUCUGAAU